AUUGAACGCUGGCGGCAUGCCUUACACAUGCAAGUCGAACGGCAGCGGGCCUUCGGGUGCCGGCGAGUGGCGAACGGGUGAGUAAUGCAUCGGAACGUGCCAUUGAGUGGGGGGAUAACGUAGCGAAAGUUACGCUAAUACCGCAUAUUCUGUGAGCAGGAAGGCAGGGGACCGCAAGGCCUUGCGCUCUUUGAGCGGCCGAUGUCAGAUUAGCUAGUUGGUGAGGUAAAGGCUUACCAAGGCGACGAUCUGUAGCGGGUCUGAGAGGAUGAUCCGCCACACUGGAACUGAGACACGGUCCAGACUCCUACGGGAGGCAGCAGUGGGGAAUUUUGGACAAUGGGCGCAAGCCUGAUCCAGCCAUGCCGCGUGAGUGAAGAA
rnacentral:rRNA from 1 species